rnacentral:tRNA from 1 species
GUAGCUUAGUUGGUAAAGCGUUCGUCUUGCAUACAAGAGUCCUGGGUUCGAAUCCCGAGC